rnacentral:tRNA from 1 species
UCUAAUUUAACAUAUAUAGUAAUGUGAGAGAUUGUAAAUCUUUUCAUAACAAUUCUA